rnacentral:piRNA from 1 species
AAAAGUAGAACUGACAUAAUACAAA